rnacentral:tRNA from 3 species
GGGUUCGUGGUCUAGCUGGUUAUGACAGCGCCUUUACACGGCGUUGAUCGGGGGUUCGAAUCCCCUCGAGCCCA